UUUAACGAGAAAGCCCUUACCCACCUUUGACAUGGCAGGAACUUACCAGAGAUGGUUUGGUGCUCGAAAGAGAACCUGCACACAGGUGCUGCAUGGCUGUCGUCAGCUCGUGUCGUGAGAUGUUGGGUUAAGUCCCGCAACGAGCGCAACCCUUGCCAUUAGUUGCUACAUUCAGUUGAGCACUCUAAUGGGACUGCCGGUGACAAACCGGAGGAAGGUGGGGAUGACGUCAAGUCCUCAUGGCCCUUAUAGGUGGGGCUACACACGUCAUACAAUGGCUGGUACAAAGGGUUGCCAACCCGCGAGGGGGAGCUAAUCCCAUAAAGCCAGUCGUAGUCCGGAUCGCAGUCUGCAACUCGACUGCGUGAAGUCGGAAUCGCUAGUAAUCGCGAUCAUCCCGGGCCCGCCCCA
rnacentral:rRNA from 1 species